GACGUAGGGGGCCAGCGUUGCUCGGAAUUACUGGGUGUAAAGGGUUCGUAGGCGGUGUGGCAAGUCGGGAGUGAAAUCUCUGGGCUCAACCCAGAGUCUGCUUCCGAAACUGCUGUGCUUGAGUGCCGGAGAGGGUGGCGGAAUUCCCCAAGUAGAGGUGAAAUUCGUAGAUAUGGGGAGGAACACCGGUGGCGAAGGCGGCCACCUGGACGGUAACUGACGCUGAGACGCGAAAGCGUGGGGAGCAAACAGG
rnacentral:rRNA from 1 species